rnacentral:rRNA from 1 species
GAUGAACGCUGGCGGCGUGCCUAAUACAUGCAAGUCGAGCGAACAGAUGAGGAGCUUGCUCCUCUGACGUUAGCGGCGGACGGGUGAGUAACACGUGGAUAACCUACCUAUAAGACUGGGAUAACUUCGGGAAACCGGAGCUAAUACCGGAUAAUAUAUUGAACCGCAUGGUUCAAUAGUGAAAGACGGUUUUGCUGUCACUUAUAGAUGGAUCCGCGCCGCAUUAGCUAGUUGGUAAGGUAACGGCUUACCAAGGCGACGAUGCGUAGCCGACCUGAGAGGGUGAUCGGCCACACUGGAACUGAGACACGGUCCAGACUCCUACGGGAGGCAGCAGUAGGGAAUCUUCCGCAAUGGGCGAAAGCCUGACGGAGCAACGCCGCGUGAGUGAUGAAGGUCUUCGGAUCGUAAAACUCUGUUAUUAGGGAAGAACAAAUGUGUAAAUAACUAUGCACGUCUUGACGGUACCUAAUCAGAAAGCCACGGCUAACUACGUG